UUUAAUGAGAGUUUGAUCCUGGCUCAGGACGAACGCUGGCGGCGUGCCUAAUACAUGCAAGUAGAACGCUGAGGUUUGGUGUUUACACUAGACUGAUGAGUUGCGAACGGGUGAGUAACGCGUAGGUAACCUGCCUCAUAGCGGGGGAUAACUAUUGGAAACGAUAGCUAAUACCGCAUAAGAGUAAUUAACACAUGUUAGUUAUUU
rnacentral:rRNA from 1 species